rnacentral:rRNA from 1 species
UACAGAGGGUGCGAGCGUUAAUCGGAAUUACUGGGCGUAAAGCGUGCGCAGGCGGUGAUGCAAGACAGAUGUGAAAUCCCCGGGCUCAACCUGGGAACUGCAUUUGUGACUGCAUCGCUGGAGUACGGCAGAGGGGGAUGGAAUUCCGCGUGUAGCAGUGAAAUGCGUAGAUAUGCGGAGGAACACCGAUGGCGAAGGCAAUCCCCUGGGCCUGUACUGACGCUCAUGCACGAAAGCGUGGGGAGCAAACAGG